AUGCCUGUUAGAGAGAAAGAAACAAGGGAUGAAGCCGCCAGCUCAGCCCAGCCUGUCACCCUGAAUCCUGACCUCUUUUCUUAAAUGGCAGCAUUUACACCGUCUUCCACAGCAGAAGACCUCUCUGAAGUUGGACCUCAGGUUUCCCACAGUGCUCCUUCAAUGGGGCAAGUCAAUGUAAUUCAUGGGAGAUCCAUGCUUUCUCUGGAGAAGCAAUACUGCCCUGCCUAGAAGAUUAUCCUCAGAGUUAAAUAAAGUCUCUCAGGUAUCCUGUUCCACUCUUAGGAAGAUUUAUGGAGGUCACAUCUCACCCAGCAAAGAGAGACCUAGAUGCGAAUCUUGCUACAAGCCACAAUUUUACUGGCUGUAAAAGGGGAGAAUAAUAACAGUUCCUUCCUCAAAGAAUAUGGUGGAGAGUAGACGAGAUACGUGGAUAUAAGUUUCCUAACACAAGUGAUGAACCGGAGUCCCAACACAGAUCCUGGCUGGAGGAUCUGAUUUCAGAAUCAUGGAAGAAAUGAGAUAAAUGACGCAGAAUUUCAGAAGCAAAAUCUGAAAGAAGUUACCUUGCACAAGGCAGUUCUGUAAUAGUGGCAAAGGACUCUGUUGUUACACGGCUCACUUGUCAAAAUUGACACAGUACAUGAGAGGAAGUCGAUACUAACUGAUGGAACGUCAAUUGAUUUACAGUAAGCAGAAGAAGACAGGGAAAACCAGUUAAUAGCUCUGCAGAGCAGCAGGAGUUUUGGAAAUUAUCUACAAGACUACAGAUACAUAUAUAUAAUAAACUGAGAGCUGAAAUUAAAAGUAUGGGAAACACCCAGUUUAAAUACUGCAAACUCUUCAAUCCGCACUAAGAAUAUUUUCUAGUAUACAGCUUUAUUGAGAUAUAAUUCACGUGUCAUACAAGGCACCCAUUUAAAGUGUCCAAUUCAAUGGGUUUCGGUACACUCACAGAUUUGAAUCAUCACAAUGAAAUUUUUCAAACAUUUCAUUAACCCCUCCCCCCCGCAAAGAAACCCAUACCCAUUAUCAGUCAUUCAUUCUUCACCCCCCUCCUCUGGCACCCCUUCUCCGCAUGGUUCUAGGCAACCACCAACCUAUAAUCUGUGUCUUUAGAUUCACCUAUUCUGGACAUUUCACAUAAAUGAAAUCAUACAAUUUGUGCUACAGGUACUCAUUUAAUGGACAGCCACACUUGCAAUUAAUCUCCUCAAACGUUUCAAAUGCAAACAUUUUAAAUUACUCACACAAUGAAGCAAUCAAGCCUUCGGAAUCUGCGAUGUUUCCUACGAAAGACAAGUAGACAAAAGGGCCUUCCUGGAGAGAAAAUGAAAACAUGCUCUAAUUCAGCAUCACAACCACAGGAUGGCACCGGAGAUACACGGCUUCACAUGGCCACGUCCCCAGGAGCCCACCUCCUGGUCUGCUCCCUCUGAACAUCGUACCUGCAAGCACCUACACAAGCCGGUGGGGUGCGAUCCUAGAGACUGAUGCCCAGGCCUUGCAGACAGAGGGAAUGUUUAUAUAAUAAAUGCUGUUUUUCAAUGA